UGUGAGGGUGAUCUGGCUGUGACAUCUGUCACCCUCUUGAUUGCCAGGGUUGAUUCGGUUGAUCUGGCUGGCUAGGUGGGCGUCCCUUUCCCCCCUUACUGUUCCAUGUGUGUCCCUCCUGAAUCUUUGCACUUGGUCGAAGAUGACCAUCCUGGAUAGAAGAGGACCAGUCUUUGGUCAAGGGUAUACAAGUAGCUAUGCCUGCUUGCUAGAACCUCCAAACAAGCUCUCAAGGUCCAAAUAUCCAGCACAUAAUUAGCAAUGGAUUAGAAAAGGGAGCUGGGAAGGUGGAAGGAAGCAGAAACAGUGAGUCCCUGAAUGAAAGAGACAGAAACACU
rfam:Macaca mulatta chromosome 6, whole genome shotgun sequence.